UCCCAUAUAGUGUAGAGGUUUAGCAUACCAGAUUUUCAAUUCUUAAACACUGGCAUUCUGGCGACCCGGGUUCGAACCCCGGUAUGGGAA